CCACUUUUUGUUAAUGUAAAUAUGUAAUAUUUAAAUAUAAUAAUAUGUUUGUAGGGAGUGGUCAGAUUACUAUCAUGUAUUGAUAAAUGAGUUAGGUUAACUUCCUCUGGAAUAUUAUACCUGAAACACAUUUCUUUUACGCUAGGCUUUCAAAUUUCUCUAAGCUCUUUAAAGCUGUACAAACAACUUCCAGACCAAAGGCAAGAUAUAUUGAGAGAUGUACAGUUUUGUAUAUGAACUUGCAAUUUUGAACUUCCUUUGCAUCUGGUUACUUCCAUGUUCAGGAAAAUACAAUAUCUGCUAAUAUAUAACAUCAUAAAUAGUGCAUUUAUUGUUGAAACAGUAGCUGCAAUGGCAUGUGAUAAAAAUGUCAGGUAUCUGCAUAGUUUUCUGAGUGUUGGGAUCCCAAUAAGGUACUUCUGUUACCUCUGAGGGCUGCUGUCUAUGUGAGUGUGAAUAUUUUGUCAGUCCUUACCGAGAUAUUUCUGUGUUUAUUAUAGGUUUUUGCUUUGUAUUAGACUAGCCUGUCUCCCUACCCUAGAUUCCCCGCCAUUGAAUAGGGUCUUAUAUGAAUGGCUUCAGGGCACUGUCUCAUGCUGUUCUCUAAUUACUUAAUGUGUUUAAAUUUUGUUAUCCCAAUCAGAUUGUAAGCUCCUCAAAAGGUUACAUGUUUCCUACUUAUUUUGUACCAUCACACCGUCCUAGGUAAGUAGUCAAUGGUUUAUGAAAACUUGGGAUUUACUUGUUGAUAAGUAAAGAGAACUAAAAGAGAGAAAAGAAAUUGAAAUAUCCAACAAGUAGAAGAUAUUUUGAAAUUAAAUUACUUGAAAUGGAGAAAGUGAGGGACUUGAAUUGUAAUAAUGCCACAUAACUUGUUUGAAUUUACAUAGAUAUCUAUGCAGACCUAUUUUGACCUACAUAUCUAUAUAUACAUAAUUUCAAACAAGUUGUUGUAUUAUUAGCUAUGCUUAUUUAUUUACAUUUAUAUUUAUAUUUACAUAUGUUUCCUUGAACCAUUGGAUGAUUUCA
rnacentral:lncRNA from 1 species